AUAUCAAUAAGCGCAGGAAAAGAAACCAACAGGGAUUGCCUCAGUAACGGCGAGUGAAGCGGCAACAGCUCAAAUUUGAAAUCUGGCCUCUCGGGGUCCGAGUUGUAAUUUGUAGAGGAUGUUUUGGGUACCGCCCCGGUUUAAAUUUCUUGGAACAGAAUGUCAAAGAGGGUGAGAAUCCCGUCUUGGACCGGCGGUAGGGCCUGUGUAAAACUCCUUCGACGAGUCGAGUUGUUUGGGAAUGCAGCUCAAAAUGGGUGGUAAAUUUCAUCUAAAGCUAAAUAUUGGCCAGAGACCGAUAGCGCACAAGUAGAGUGAUCGAAAGAUGAAAAGAACUUUGAAAAGAGAGUUAAACAGUAUGUGAAAUUGUUGAAAGGGAAGCGCUUGCAACCAGACUUGAGCGCGACGGUUCCCCUAGCCUUUUGGCUAGGCUACUCCGUCGUGUCCAGGCCAACAUCGGUUCUGAGGGUCGGUCAAAGGCCCCGGGAAUGUACCUACCCACGGGUAGACUUAUAGACCGGGGUGUCAUGCGGCCUCUCGGGACCGAGGAACGCGCUUCGGCUCGGAUGUUGGCGUAAUGGUUGUCAGCGACCCGUCUUGAAACACGGACCAAGGAGUCUAACAUCUAUGCGAGUGUUUGGGUGUCAAACCCGGAACGCGGAAUGAAAGUGAACGGAGGUAGGAAGCUUCGGCUGCACUAUCGACCGAUCCUGAAGUUUACGGAUGGAUUUGAGUAAGAGCAUAGCUGUUGGGACCCGAAAGAUGGUGAACUAUGCCUGAAUAGGGUGAAGCCAGAGGAAACUCUGGUGGAGGCUCGCAGCGGUUCUGACGUGCAAAUCGAUCGUCAAAUUUGGGUAUAGGGGCGAAAGACUAAUCGAACCAUCUGGUAGCUGGUUCCUGCCGAAGUUUCCCUCAGGAUAGCAGUAACGUUUUCAGUUUUAUGAGGUAAAGCGAAUGAUUAGAGGCCUUGGGGUUGAAACAACCUUAACCUAUUCUCAAACUUUAAAUAUGUAAGAAGUCCUUGUUACUUAAUUGAACGUGGACAUUUGAAUGUACCGUUACUAGUGGGCCAUUUUUGGUAAGCAGAACUGGCGAUGCGGGAUGAACCGAACGUGAGGUUAAGGUGCCGGAAUGCACGCUCAUCAGACACCACAAAAGGUGUCAAUGCAUCUAGACAGCCGGACGGUGGCCAUGGAAGUCGGAAUCCGCUUAGGAGUGUGUAACAACUCACCGGCCGAAUGCAUUGGCCCUGAAAAUGGAUGGCGCUUAAGCGUGCUACCUAUACCUCGCCGUUAGGGUUGACAUGAUGCCCUAACGAGUAGGCAGGCGUGGAGGUCCGUGACGAAGC
rnacentral:rRNA from 1 species